rnacentral:rRNA from 1 species
UACAGAGGUCCCAAGCGUUACUGAGAAUCACUGGGUUUAAAGGGUGCGUAGGUGGUCCGUUAAGUCAGUUGUGAAAUCCCCGGGCUCAACCCGGGAACUGCUUCUGAUACUGGCGGACUUGAGGCCAGUAGGGGUCACUAGAACUGACGGUGGAGCGGUGAAAUGCGUAGAUAUCGUCUGGAACGCCGAAGGUGAAAACAGCUCGCUGGGGCUGCGCUGACGCUGAGACACGAAAGCCAGGGGAGCGAACGGG